rnacentral:rRNA from 1 species
UACGUAGGGUGCAAGCGUUGUCCGGAAUUAUUGGGCGUAAAGGGCUCGUAGGCGGUUUGUCGCGUCGGGAGUGAAAAUCCAGGGCUUAACUCUGGACUGGCUUUCGAUACGGGCAGACUAGAGGUAUGCAGGGGAGAACGGAAUUCCUGGUGUAGCGGUGAAAUGCGCAGAUAUCAGGAGGAACACCGGUGGCGAAGGCGGUUCUCUGGGCAUUACCUGACGCUGAGGAGCGAAAGUGUGGGGAGCGAACAGG